rnacentral:rRNA from 1 species
AACGAACGCUGGCGGCAGGCUUAACACAUGCAAGUCGAGCGCCCCGCAAGGGGAGCGGCAGACGGGUGAGUAACGCGUGGGAAUCUACCCAUCUCUACGGAAUAACGCAUGGAAACGUGUGCUAAUACCGUAUACGUCCUUCGGGAGAAAGAUUUAUCGGAGAUGGAUGAGCCCGCGUUGGAUUAGCUAGUUGGUGGGGUAAAGGCCCACCAAGGCGACGAUCCAUAGCUGGUCUGAGAGGAUGAUCAGCCACACUGGGACUGAGACACGGCCCAGACUCAGACGGGAGGCAGCGGUGGGGAACAUUGGACAAUGGGCGCAAGCCUGAUCCAGCCAUGCCGCGUGAGUGAUGAAGGCCCUAGGGUUGUAAAGCUCUUUCACCGGUGAAGAUAAUGACGGUAACCGGAGAAGAAGCCCCGGCUAACUUCGUGCCAGCAGCCGCCGUAAAAC